rnacentral:rRNA from 1 species
GCAACGGAUAUCYAGGCUCUCGCAUCGAUGAAGAACGUAGCGAAAUGCGAUACUUGGUGUGAAUUGCAGAAUCCCGUGAACCAUCGAGUUUUUGAA